GGUCUGAGAGGAUGAUCAGCCACACUGGGACUGAGACACGGCCCAGACUCCUACGGGAGGCAGCAGUGGGGAAUUUUGGACAAUGGGCGCAAGCCUGAUCCAGCCAUUCCGCAUGAGUGAAGAAGGCCUUCGGGUUGUAAGCUCUUUCGGCCGGGAAGAAAUCGGGCAGGUGAAUAAUCUGCCUGGAUGACGGUACCGGAAGAAGAAGCACCGGCUAACUACGUGCCAGCAGCCGCGGUAAUACGUAGGGUGCGAGCGUUAAUCGGAAUUACUGGGCGUAAAGCGUGCGCAGGCGGCUUUGUAAGACAGGUGUGAAAUCCCCGGGCUUAACCUGGGAAUGGCGCUUGUGACUGCAAGGCUUGAGUUCGGCAGAGGGGGGUGGAAUUCCACGUGUAGCAGUGAAAUGCGUAGAGAUGUGGAGGAACACCGAUGGCGAAGGCAGCCCCCUGGGUCGCGACUGACGCUCAUGCACGAAAGCGUGGGGAGCAAACAGGAUUAGAUACCCUGGUAGUCCACGCCCUAAACGAUGUCGACUAGGUGUUGGGGAAGGAGACUUCUUUAGUACCGUAGCUAACGCGUGAAGUCGACCGCCUGGGGAGUACGGUCGCAAGAUUAAAACUCAAAGGAAUUGACGGGGACCCGCACAAGCGGUGGAUGAUGUGGAUUAAUUCGAUGCAACGCGAAAAACCUUACCUACCCUUGACAUGCCAGGAACCUUGCUGAGAGGUGAGGGUGCCCGAAAGGGAGCCUGGACACAGGUGCUGCAUGGCUGUCGUCAGCUCGUGUCGUGAGAUGUUGGGUUAAAUCCCGCAACGAGCGCAACCCUUGUCGCUAAUUGCCAUCAUUCAGUUGGGCACUUUAGCGAGACUGCCGGUGACAAACCGGAGGAAGGUGGGGAUGACGUCAAGUCCUCAUGGCCCUUAUGGGUAGGGCUUCACACGUCAUACAAUGGUCGGUACAGAGGGCUGCUAACCCGCGAGGGGGCGCUAAUCUCGCAAAGCCGAUCGUAGUCCGGAUUGCAGUCUGCAACUCGACUGCAAGAAGUCGGAAUCGCUAGUAAUCGUGGAUCAGCAUGUCACGGUGAAUACGUUCCCGGGUCUUGUACACACCGCCCGUCACACCAUGGGAGUGGGUUCCACCAGAAGUAGGUAGCUUAACCGCAAGGGGGGCGCUUACCACGGUGAGAUUCAUGACUGGGGUGAAGUCGUAACAAGGUA
rnacentral:rRNA from 1 species